rnacentral:misc_RNA from 1 species
UUCAUUUUUUUGUAUUAUGAAAAAGAAUGAAACUAGAACAGAAUUUCAUUAAAAAUAGUAAAAGUAUGAUACACUAGAAAAGGCUCACUGUAUAUAUAAUAUCAUUCAUAUUUAAAUAUUAAUAAAAGAUCGUAAUAGUUCCUAAAAUUCUUUGCAAACAAGAAGCACAUUGCUACAUGUUGUUAGAUUCUGAUGUUAUUAGUGGAAAGUUUUGUGUAUCUAUAAGUAAAUCUUCAUUUAUAUUUGCUUUUUCUUCAGGUUCAAAUUCAUCUACAUCCUCUCCAUCAAUUAUUACUUGAGGACCAGUAGAUUUAUAUUGGAAUGCAGAAUGUGAUAAAUCAACUUCAACAGGAAAUAACAUUGCAGAGGAUAAUAAGUCCCUUUACCAAAUUUCGCACGAGCUUCUUGUCGACAUCUUAAGAUUAGACGAUAUUCAUAAUUGCCUGUUUCCACUCGAUAAAAAGGUUCUUCGUAACUUUGUUCCUCAUCAUCCAUUUCUUUUAUUUUCAAGCAAUAAGAAAGAUAUUCAAAUUUUGCAUCAGCAUAUUUGCUUAUGGUUAAUCGAGUAUCUGGAAUAGCUUUGUGAAGAUAUGUGCCUAAAUCAUUUAAUAUAGGUUUCAAAUUUUUUAAAAUUGUUAUUCCAUAUUUUUCCAUUUGUCUAUGUUGUUCACCAAAUUGUCUGAAAGCUUCACUAGCUCGUGGUUGUGGUUCUCUUACUCCUAUUGCAGCAAAGGCAUCACCAAAUACUAAAAUAUGCAAUGUAAUGAUACUUAAAAUAUAUAUAUAUAUAUAUAAAAUUAUAAAUAUAUAUAUAUAAUUAUAAAUAUAUAUAUAUAAUCUCAAAAUUGAAUAAUUUUUGACACAGUUAAAUUUAAAAGUGAUUUUUGGAAUUUGAUAAUUUAUUUAAAAAUGUAUAACAAUACCUUUGUAUAUUUGUAUUAAAUCAAAAAAGCUAUGUAAAGUAGCAUUAGCAUGGGAAACUAAACCUCUAUACAAAUUUUCUGUGCGCUGCAAUGCCAUUAAUCGUUGUACAAGUGCGUCGUUACAAAGAAUGGCACGUGAUAAUCCAAGUGCAUCUGCUGUUGCACUUCCCAUUCCUUCAAUUAAUCUAUGUUUUACCUAAAAUUAAUUUAAGGUUUAAAAUAAUGUAAUUAUUUAUAAUAAAUAUAUAAGUUUAGACAAUAAAUACCUUUUUCAAAGCUAUAUCAAGAGUACGACCUUGUUUAGGAUCAGCAUGUAAUUUAUUAUAAUUAAUACUGACUUCAGAAUCACAAGAUUGUAUCAUUUUUGCAACUUCUACUUUUGUCUUUCCUUUAACUGAUACUCCAUUUACUGCUACAAGUUCAUCUCCUGAUUGUAAAGUACCAUCUAUAGCUGCAGGUGAAUAGUCAAAAAUUUGUACAAUAUACAAGCAGGGGCAUAAUGGUGCUCCACCUCCAAUACUUAUGCCAAUAAGAUUACUGCUAUCUUUUUGUAUUACAAUAUUGCCAGAAGUUAUGGUCAUACCCCUGUAUAAAUUAAUAAAACAAAAGAAUACAUUAAUAUAUUGUUUCACAUAAAUUAAUGGUAUAAUACUU